GACGAACCGUGCGAACGUUGUUCGGAAUCACUGGGCUUAAAGGGCGCGUAGGCGGCUCCGCAAGUCGGGGGUGAAAUCUUUCGGCUCAACCGGAAAAGUGCCCCCGAUACUGCGGGGCUCGAGGGGGAUAGGGGCGGACGGAACUUCCGGUGGAGCGGUGAAAUGCGUUGAUAUCGGAAGGAACGCCGGUGGCGAAAGCGGUCCGCUGGGUCCCCACUGACGCUGAGGCGCGAAAGCUAGGGGAGCGAACCGG
rnacentral:rRNA from 1 species